rnacentral:rRNA from 1 species
UACGGAGGGAGCGAGCGUUGUCCGAAGUUACUGGGCGUAAAGCGCGCGUAGGCGGGGGAUUAAGUGAGAAGUGAAAGGCUGAGGCUCAACCUCAUGCAGUGCUUCUCAUACUGGUCCUCUUGAGGGUGGUAGAGAGAAGUGGAAUGGCUGGUGUAGCGGUGAAAUGCGUAGAUAUCAGUCGGAACACCGGUGGCGAAGGCGGCGUC